UGUUUCAAAGUAAGACUACCUUCAAAUUGACUGUAUUUAUCCAUAAUUAUACACUGAUGAUAUUAAAUUAUAUUUCUAUCUUCUUAGAAAAAAAGACAACAUAUCAAAUGAAGAUGAUUUAUCUAUCCUGAAAAGCAAAUACAAAUUGGGAAAUUAUAUGCACUUAACAUUACUUUCAAUGAAUGAGGAAAUACCUACCAUUUUGUAUUUUCAAUCAAAACGUGACACUGAUAAUAUUCCUGCCUAGAGUAACAAGAAUUUUUAAAGGAUUGUAACCAAAAGAUGAAGAAACAAAUGAAGGCAAGCCAAAACAUUGCUGAUAUUACUAAUAAGGAUGCAUCUAUUCUAUAAAGACAUACUAGAAUAAUCUAUGCUGGAUACACCAAGAGUGUGGAAACAUUGCUUUCUCUGAAGAUAAUUGUCUGACUUAAUGGAAAUGGGGAAAAGUCGUGGAUGCUUCUUAUUCUCUAAUCCAAGUCAGGUGGUCUAUCAGUGAAUUAUAAACCAAGAAUAAUUCAAGAAAUGAGGGAAAAACUUAUGCCAAGACCAGUGUCUACAGUCAACACUUAACCUUUUUGUCAUUAAACAAUGUGUUAUUAUGUUCAAAACUCAAUUAUUUAU